rnacentral:rRNA from 1 species
AUUGAACGCUGGCGGAAUGCUUUACACAUGCAAGUCGAGCGGCAGCGCGGGGGCAACCCUGGCGGCGAGCGGCGAACGGGUGAGUAAUGCAUCGGAACAUGUCCGGUUGUGGGGGAUAACCUGGCGAAAGCCAGGCUAAUACCGCAUGAGCUCGAGAGAGGAAAGCGGGGGACCGUAAGGCCUCGCGCGACCGGGUUGGCCGAUGUCCGAUUAGCUAGUUGGUGGGGUAAAGGCUACCAAGGCGAUGAUCGGUAGCUGGUCUGAGAGGAUGAUCAGCCACACUGGGACUGAGACACGGCCCAGACUCCUACGGGAGGCAGCAGUGGGGAAUUUUGGACAAUGGGGGCAACCCUGAUCCAGCCAUUCCGCGUGAGUGAAGAAGGCCUGGUGUAAG